rnacentral:rRNA from 1 species
CCUACGGGAGGCAGCAGUGGGGAAUUUUGGACAAUGGGCGCAAGCCUGAUCCAGCAAUGCCGCGUGCAGGAUGAAGGCCUUCGGGUUGUAAACUGCUUUUGUACGGAACGAAACGGUUCUCUUUAAUACAGAGGGCUAAUGACGGUACCGUAAGAAUAAGCACCGGCUAACUACGUGCCAGCAGCCGCGGUAAUACGUAGGGUGCGAGCGUUAAUCGGAAUUACUGGGCGUAAAGCGUGCGCAGGCGGUUAUAUAAGACAGAUGUGAAAUCCCCGGGCUCAACCUGGGACCUGCAUUUGUGACUGUAUAGCUAGAGUACGGUAGAGGGGGAUGGAAUUCCGCGUGUAGCAGUGAAAUGCGUAGAUAUGCGGAGGAACACCGAUGGCGAAGGCAAUCCCCUGGACCUGUACUGACGCUCAUGCACGAAAGCGUGGGGAGCAAGCAGGAUUAGAUACCCUGGUAGUCCACGCCCUAAACGAUGUCAACUGGUUGUUGGGUCUUCACUGACUCAGUAACGAAGCUAACGCGUGAAGUUGACCGCCUGGGGAGUACGGCCGCAAGGUUGAAACUCAAAGGAAUUGACGG